rnacentral:rRNA from 1 species
UGGGGAAUUUUGGACAAUGGGGGAAACCCUGAUCCAGCCAUCCCGCGUGUGCGAUGAAGGCCUUCGGGUUGUAAAGCACUUUUGGCAGGAAAGAAACGUCAUGGGUUAAUACCCCGUGAAACUGACGGUACCUGCAGAAUAAGCACCGGCUAACUACGUGCCAGCAGCCGCGGUAAUACGUAGGGUGCAAGCGUUAAUCGGAAUUACUGGGCGAAAAGCGUGCGCAGGCAGUUCGGAAAGAAAGAUGUGAAAUCCCAGAGCUCAACUUUGGAACUGCAUUUUUAACUACCGGGCUAGAGUGUGUCAGAGGGAGGUGGAAUUCCGCGUGUAGCAGUGAAAUGCGUAGAUAUGCGGAGGAACACCGAUGGCGAAGGCAGCCUCCUGGGAUAACACUGACGCUCAUGCACGAAAGCGUGGGGAGCAAACAGG